UACCAGACUCCUACGGGAGGCAGCAGUGAGGAAUAUUGGUCAAUGGCCGAAGGGCUGAACCAGCCAAGCCGCGUGAAGGAAUAAGGCCCUACGGGUCGUAAACUUCUUUAGUCAGGGAACAAAGGGAGCCACGCGUGGCGCUGUGAGUGUACCUGAAGAAUAAGCAUCGGCUAACUCCGUGCCAGCAGCCGCGGUAAUACGGAGGAUGCGAGCGUUAUCCGGAUUUAUUGGGUUUAAAGGGUGCGUAGGCGGUUUGAAAAGUCGGGGGAAAAACUCCCGGCCCCACCCCGGCCCCGCCGCUGAAGCUGGCGAACUCGAGAGGGAGAGAAGUAGGCGGAAUGCGCAGUGUAGCGGUGAAAUGCAUAGAUAUUGCGCAGAACUCCGAUUGCGAAGGCAGCCUACCGGCUCCUGUCUGACGCUGAGGCACGAAAGCGUGGGUAUCGAACAGGAUUAGAUACCCUAGUAG
rnacentral:rRNA from 1 species